AUGUAAAUUCCUACAACAUAACAUUAAUGUACCAGAUCCCAUUAGAACUCUGCAAUUAAGUGCGCUCAGGCUAGAUUUGUACUAGGAUGGGUGACCUCAUGGGAAAUCCUAGUGUUUUACAUG
rnacentral:rRNA from 1 species